UGACUGGAACGUUCAUACAUAAGUGAACCUCGCCAUACUGGAGCACGUGUCAGUUAACGAUCAUUGCAGAUUGUUAUUUGGGAGGAAACAGAUCAACUUAUUUCUGCCGGACAGCAUCUGCACAUUAGUCGCCGUGACGCAAUCAGCGACGGACAUGCUUUCCGAAGAAGGGCUCGGAAUUGCGGACAUCUUGGUUUUCUGUGUUCUGACGGCUGCGGGAUACUUCGUGGGGCUCUACUUUUCCUUCAAAGGAAGGCGACGUGAGAUUUCACCCGAUGACACCAGGGGCACUUCGGCUGUGCUCGAGGCCUUCCUCGGGGGUCGAAGUAUUCCGGCAGCGGCACUGGCCGUGUCCGUUCUGGCUUCCGUGGCCACCGCCGUCGGCGUGGUGAGCUUCGUGGGCCACUACUAUGCGUACGGCUUCCAUCUUGAUUGGGCAUUGGCCGGCAUUCCAGUGUCGGCGGCCAUCGUUUCUCUCAUUGUGGUUCCACUGCUCUACGAUCUGCGAGUGACGUCCGUUUUUCAGUACCUUCGGAUGCGAUUCGACAACAAGGUCGGCAUCACAGCCUGCGUCGUCUACUUCGUGCUCAGUCAAAGUGUGGGCGCAGUGGGAAUUUUCAGCUCUGCUAUUGCUGUGUCCACAAUGUUUCCCAUUCCUGUGUUGUACUCGAACAUCGUCAUCGGCCUUGCGGGAACAGUUUAUACUGCGCUAGGAGGACUUCGUGGAGUUGUGUGGGCCGACUGCGCGCAAGCUUUUGUCAUGUUUUUGUCACCCGUAGUAAUUAUUGCAAAAGUGCUCUACGAUUCCAGUAGCGUAACGCCACCACUACGUCCUAUGAGCAACGCAAAUAUCACAGAUUUUGCUUUCCGGGUGAAUUGGGACAUUACGACCGACGAAAACUUGUGGAGCGGAUUGGCAGGAGCGCUGCCGUUCAGCCUGGUACGGACAGGACUCGACCAGAUGGCAGUGCAGCGAUUUAUGGCGGCUAGGACACUACGGGAUGCAAAAAGGAUAGCCAUCGCGGGUCCACUUUUAGUGCUGUUUUUCUUCUUCCUCGGCGAAUGCACAGCCGUGGCCAUUAUGUACUGGUUCAGGGACUGUGACCCAGUCAUGCGUGGUGCCAUCCACAGUUAUGAUGAGAUUGUUCCGCACUAUAUGAUGACGAGGCUCGUUGAUGUACCCAUGCUGAGGGGCUUGUUCUUGGCGGGACUCGUCGGGGCAUCUACAAGCACGAUUUCUUCUAUUGUGAACUCCCACGCCGCAAUAUUUUACAUUGACGUUGUCACCCCAUACACCAAGAUAAGUGACAGAAAGGCUCUCGUCGUAAUGCGUCUUCUUGCUUUUGCGAGCGGCACCAUAAUGACCUUGUGCGCCAUUGCUGUACCUUACCUCGGCACCGCAGCACGGCUGUACAUGUCAUUCUACUGCUCUGCGGCGGGACCAUUCGCUGGGCUCUUUUUGCUGGCUUUGUCGUCGCCGUGGGUCAACGCAAAGGGAGUGGGCAACGCUACACUUCUGGUCUGCGCGUUUCUGGUAUGGCAUGCGAUCGGAAGGAGCCUUUCGGAUGUAGCACCUCCACCAUUGCUUCCAAAGACGCUUGACCGCUGCCCAUUAUCACUGAACAUCAGUGGCUGGACUGAAGACCCAUCAGCUGGAAUAGACGUCCAACCAGUCACAAGGUGGACGUCGUGAUGCAAAGAGGAACCUGCGUUUGACUAGUCCUGCGUUUCUAGACUUUUGGAAGCGGUUCGAAUUGAUACGUCGGACAUUCCUGUUGGAAGACGAAGAAACCAAACACGACGCUACCAUGUUGGAACGGAAAGAAGAACACUGCGACGACGACUACGCAAGACUCGACAAAGAAAUGUCACCGGCGUACAAAGGGCAGUGGUUUGCGGAACAAUAUUCAAGUUUAGUGCGUGUGAGCUAGCCAUACAACAUCUUCGUUGGAAAUUUACACCUAUUCAUCAUGUUUAUACAACUUAAGCGCAAGGAC
rnacentral:misc_RNA from 1 species